rnacentral:rRNA from 1 species
UACAGAGGUCUCAAGCGUUGUUCGGAUUCAUUGGGCGUAAAGGGUGCGUAGGUGGCGGGGUAAGUCAGGUGUGAAAUCUCGAGGCUCAACCUCGAAACUGCACUUGAUACUGCCUUGCUCGAGUACUGGAGAGGAGAUUGGAAUUUACGGUGUAGCAGUGAAAUGCGUAGAUAUCGUAAGGAAGACCAGUGGCGAAGGCGAAUCUCUGGACAGUUACUGACACUGAGGCACGAAGGCCAGGGGAGCAAACCGG